GACGAACGCUGGCGGCGUGCUUAACACAUGCAAGUCGAACGGAAAGGCCCUGCUUUUGUGGGGUGCUCGAGUGGCGAACGGGUGAGUAACACGUGAGUAACCUGCCCUUGACUUUGGGAUAACUUCAGGAAACUGGGGCUAAUACCGGAUAGGAGCUCCUGCUGCAUGGUGGGGGUUGGAAAGUUUCGGCGGUUGGGGAUGGACUCGCGGCUUAUCAGCUUGUUGGUAGGGUAGUGGCUUACCAAGGCUUUGACGGGUAGCCGGCCUGAGAGGGUGACCGGCCACAUUGGGACUGAGAUACGGCCCAGACGCCUACGGGAGGCAGCAGUGGGGAAUAUUGCACAAUGGGCGGAAGCCUGAUGCAGCAACGCCGCGUGCGGGAUGACGGCCUUCGGGUUGUAAACCGCUUUCGCCUGUGACGAAGCGUGAGUGACGGUAAUGGGUAAAGAAGCACCGGCUAACUACGUG
rnacentral:rRNA from 1 species